UCCGCUGAAGGAGGAGCUUGCUUCUCCGGAUGAGUUGCGAACGGGUGAGUAACGCGUAGGUAACCUGCCUGGUAGCGGGGGAUAACUAUUGGAAACGAUAGCUAAUACCGCAUAAGAGUAGAUGUUGCAUGACAUUUGCUUAAAAGGUGCAAUUGCAUCACUACCAGAUGGACCUGCGUUGUAUUAGCUAGUUGGUGGGGUAACGGCUCACCAAGGCGACGAUACAUAGCCGACCUGAGAGGGUGAUCGGCCACACUGGGACUGAGACACGGCCCAGACUCCUACGGGAGGCAGCAGUAGGGAAUCUUCGGCAAUGGACGGAAGUCUGACCGAGCAACGCCGCGUGAGUGAAGAAGGUUUUCGGAUCGUAAAGCUCUGUUGUAAGAGAAGAACGAGUGUGAGAGUGGAAAGUUCACACUGUGACGGUAUCUUACCAGAAAGGGACGGCUAACUACGUGCCAGCAGCCGCGGUAAUACGUAGGUCCCGAGCGUUGUCCGGAUUUAUUGGGCGUAAAGCGAGCGCAGGCGGUUAGAUNAGUCUGAAGUUAAAGGCUGUGGCUUAACCAUAGUACGCUUUGGAACUGUUUAACUUGAGUGCAAGAGGGGA
rnacentral:rRNA from 1 species